UACGUAGGUGGCAAGCGUUGUCCGGAUUUACUGGGCGUAAAGGGCGUGCAGGCGGUUUGUUAAGUGCAGGGUGAAAGCUCCCGGCUCAACUGGGAGAGGUCCUUGCAUACUGGCAGACUUGAGGGAGGCAGAGGAAAGUGGAAUUCCCGGUGUAGUGGUGAUAUGCGUAGAUAUCGGGAGGAACACCUGUGGCGAAGGCGGCUUUCUGGGCCUUACCUGACGCUGAGGCGCGAAAGCGUGGGGAGCGAACCGG
rnacentral:rRNA from 1 species